rnacentral:tRNA from 1 species
AAAUAAGAAGCAAAUAUCAUGCAUUUAAUUUCGACUUAAAAGUUUGAGUUUAAUAACUCCUUAUUUA